rnacentral:rRNA from 1 species
CGUCGCCACGGUAAUACAGAGGGUGCGAGCGUUAAUCGGAUUUACUGGGCGUAAAGCGUGCGUAGGCGGCUUUUUAAGUCGGAUGUGAAAUCCCUGAGCUUAACUUAGGAAUUGCAUUCGAUACUGGGAAGCUAGAGUAUGGGAGAGGAUGGUAGAAUUCCAGGUGUAGCGGUGAAAUGCGUAGAGAUCUGGAGGAAUACCGAUGGCGAAGGCAGCCAUCUGGCCUAAUACUGACGCUGAGGUACGAAAGCAUGGGGAGCAAACAGGAUUAGAUACCCCCGUAGUCCCUGUCUCUUAUACA